UUACAGCCAUAUCACGUUGAAACCCCUGUUUUCGUAAGAUCACUGAAGUUAAGCAACGUCAAGCCUGGUCAGUACUUAGAUAGGUAACCGUUUGGGAAUACCAGGGGUUGUAAG